rnacentral:rRNA from 1 species
CAGUAGCCGCGGGAAUACGUAGGUGGCAAGCGUCGUCCGGAAUUAUUGGGCGUAAAGCGCGCGCAGGUGGUUUAAUAAGUCUGAUGUGAAAGCCCCCGGCUCAACCGGGGAGGGUCAUUGGAAACUGGGAAACUUGAGUGCAGAAGAGGAGAGUGGAAUUCCACGUGUAGCGGUGAAAUGCGUAGAGAUGUGGAGGAACACCAGUGGCGAAGGCGACUCUCUGGUCUGUAACUGACGCUGAGGAGCGAAAGCGUGGGGAGCGAACAGGAUUAGAUACCCCAGUAGUCCCUGUCUCUUAUAC